rnacentral:rRNA from 1 species
UACGAAGGGGGCUAGCGUUGUUCGGAAUUACUGGGCGUAAAGCGCACGUAGGCGGGUCGUUAAGUCAGGGGUGAAAUCCCAGAGCUCAACUCUGGAACUGCCUUUGAUACUGGCGACCUAGAGUUCGGAAGAGGUUAGUGGAAUUCCCAGUGUAGAGGUGAAAUUCGUAGAUAUUGGGAAGAACACCAGUGGCGAAGGCGGCUAACUGGUCCGAUACUGACGCUGAGGUGCGGAAAGCGUGGGGAGCAAACAGGG